rnacentral:lncRNA from 12 species
CUGGGUGGGAGAGAAGCACACUGCACCCAUUUCCUAUGUCCAGUGAAUAUUUACUCCUCAAUCAUUUCUUUAGUCUUGAGACAAAGUGCAAGGAGAAAAUUCUGCUCUCAUUGAAAACUUAAUGCUCAGGUGGAAGACACUGCCCUUUUAUGUUCCACUAUACAGAUGGAAGGGCAGCAGUCUACCAGUGUAGCUCUGAUUCUCUUUGCUACCCAAGACAAAACUUCAAGGUAAGCACAUUGUCUCCAUGUAUGCAGAAGCACCUGGCUUCCCUUGAUGUUGGACGUGGUAAGGAAAUUGACAUAGCAUACAUUUCCCCCCAUCAUGUCAACUCUCAUUUAUAUAUUCUAGAAGUGGAACAUCAAAAAUGUUGUUAAAAUAUAUUUUAUAAUCUCUUAGCAUGGCCUAUACAGUUGGUCUAGCACCUCAUUCUGUAAUAGAGUUUGGCAAAUUUUGACCUACUGGCCAAAUCUAGCUUGCUAACAAUUUUUUUUUUUUUUGUAUGACUGGUGUUUUAAGAAUGAUUUUUAUAAUUUUAAACAGUUGGGAAAAAAAAUCAAAAGAACAACAUUCUGGGACAUGUAGAAGCCAUGAGAAAUCCAAAUUUCAGUGUCUAUAAAGUUUAUUGGAAUAUAACCAUGGCCACUCAUUUGCAUGUUAUCCGUGCUGAUUUCCACAUAUAAUGGCACAGUUGAGUGAUUAAACUUUGCAAACUGAAAAGCUGAAGAUAGGUACUAUCUAGUACUUUUCAGAAAGAAUUUGUUGACCCCUGCUAUAGAAUAUAGUAUACUUGGCAUCUGUUUUAUUGUUCUUGGCUAUCAAGUUUUAGAUGAAAGAGUAAAAGCAAUAUCUUAUUGCUCUUCAUAAGAAAACUGUCAAUAUAUUAUUACUCUCUUUAUUUAUGAUUCUUGAAUCUUACCAUUAUCCAUCUAGAUAGAGAUUUUCAAGAAUACAGACAAAAAGCUAUGCUUUCUCAUUGGGAAUACUUUAGGCUGGAAAUGGUAUAGAGCAGACUUCCAGAAUCAUACAUAAUAUACAUUUAACCUCUGUUGCAACUCAAAACUUAGGAUGAAAGCAUAAAUUCCUAUGAGCCCCAAAAUGUUGGUGGCCUGGCACACCUGGGUGGCUUAGAUGGUUAAGUGCCUGUCUUAGGCUCAUGUCUUAGGUCAUGAUCUCCAAGUCCUGGGAUUGAGCUCCACGUUCGGCUUCUAGCUCAGCAGAAACUCUGCUUCUGCCUCUCCCCUUGCUUGUGUUCUCUCUGUCUCUCAAAUGAAUAAAUAAAAAACCUUUAAUUUAUUAACUUUUUAA